UACGUAGGGGGGCAAGCGUUGUCCGGAAUUCAUUGGGCGUAAAGCGCGUGUAGGCGGCCAGAUAAGUCCGCAUGUGAAAUCUUCGAGGCUCAACUUCGAGCUGAUCGGUGGAAAACUGUCUGGCUGAGAGUCCGGAAGAGGAGAAUGGAAUUCCUGGUGGUAGACGGUGAAAUGCGCAGAUAUCAGGAAGAACACCCGUGGCGAAGGCGGUUCUCUGGGCAAUAACUGACGCUGAGGAGCGAAAGCGUGGGGAGCGAACAGG
rnacentral:rRNA from 1 species